AAACAAACACUUCUGAAACCCCGUAUAGUUUUGCUAAUUGUAGAAUCAUACUUACACACCUUUUGGUUUUUCAUUAGGCUGAAAUCUGUGAGUGUUCCCAGGGACACAUCAUCCUGCAGGUCCCAAUCAGGUUCAAAUCCCCCCUUUUGACCCUGCUGCAGGUUGUUAUUUCUUUGUGUGGUAUAUGUGAUACAUGGACCAGAUAUGGUGUAUGACUGUCUGUCUCAUCUGAAUUACUGUGAAGUAAAAGGGAAGGAAGAGGCACUUUUUGUAAUGAAUUAUUUCACUGUGUGGAGAACUUGGUGUAGCACAGUGGUACAAACACUCUAGGACUUAAUGCAAAAACCUGAGGCUGGAAAAGGAAGCAAACAUCUCAAAGAAAGAAAGAAUUGAAAGUACUGAAGGAGAAAACUGCACAGUUCCUGUGAGCUUUUAUUUUGGAAGUAUACAGCUUCUUGAGCAAGCAAAAGAGAAGAGAAAAUGGUUUUAAAAGAUUUGGCAUGCAUCAAGUUGUUUGAAAUCACUCUACUACAAAAACAUUGUUUUCUUCCCUCACCGUUUUGUAGAGAUUUCAUGGCAUUUCAUUCACAGAUCCGUUGGAGUAGCUGUAAUUUCAUUCUCUGAUUUAAUACACCUUAGACAUGUGGUGAGAAAGGUGGUUUUUUGACUUUGAAGAAACAUCGUGGCAACAGACAAGCUCGUAUUUGGAAAUGGGAUCACUUUCUCAGUUAAAUCAAAAAGACAAGAAGAUUCUACACCAGAAGUCAUUGCACUUAAAUCAAAGGAAUGCAAACAAUAUGGCAAUGUAUCGAACGUAGCUUGUUUGGCAAGAACGUUGUACAAGAGCAUCAAUCUCGAUGGGCCCAAGGGUGUCAUUGCUUAUGAUCUGAAGGAACCUAUUCUCACAUCAGAGGGGAUGUACAGUACCUUGAAAGUAGUUGGCAUAAAACCAGACACAGAAGGAACCUGCAAAGCUGUGCACAAGGGGAACAAGACUGUAGCGAGCACAAUCCUGACAGAAGGGAAAGAUGAAGAACUGGCAGCAGAGAAUGCUUGCAACUUUACAGACACCUUUAAAAAAGAUGACAAAAUGGAGAAAAUGAACAUGCUGUUCAUGGUUGUUUUGGGUUUGAGGGUCCUGCUGGCAAAAUGCAUCGCCUUCAACAUGCUCAUGAGUAUCUGUUCAUAUUCUGAGGUAGGAAAUACGAUCAUUCUGUCCUUGGGAGCAUAGGAGUCAGGUAAAGAAAGUGCAGACCAGUUGGCUUUGCAUCCUUUUGUAAACCCACAACAAGUUAUAUUUGCUUUUCCAUCUUCCACUGAACUAUUCGAUGUUUCCAGUUACUGAUUAAUUGGCUGCUUAUCAAGCAGCUAAUAGAU
rnacentral:lncRNA from 1 species